UACAGAGGGGGCAAGCGUUGUUCGGAAUUACUGGGCGUAAAGCGCAAGCAGGCGGCUCAUUAAGUUUGACGUGAAAUCUCCCGGCUUAACCGGGAGGGGCCGUUGAAAACUGAUAAGCUUGAGGCGAUGAGAGGGGUGUGGAAUUCCCGGUGUAGUGGUGAAAUGCGUAGAUAUCAGGAGGAACACCGGUGGCGAAGGCGGGAUCCUGGGCCAGUACUGACGCUGAGGAGCGAAAGCGUGGGGAGCAAACAGG
rnacentral:rRNA from 1 species